UUUGUUCGUUGUUUUUUUUUCUUCAAAAUUCUCCAUCACAAGCGUCCUACUUUUCGUCCGACCUAAUAAUAGAGGCAGUCGUGAUGACCACAGCGUAGGCAAUGCACUUACCUGAUGUCUAAAGCAAGAAUGAAGCCUCAUGACACAUUUCUGCGCUUUCCAAUUUAUGCAACAGCACUGGUGUUUUUUGGUGUUCAGAAAGCUGCACAGUCAAGUCCUGCUGUUCGUCUGACUGCUAAUCCUCCAUGGUCAGAUGUGUUCCCAAGAGAGACAAAUACUCUCACCUGUCAGGUUAUUGAAUCUGAGGGAUGGACCUUUGUGUGGAUGAGAUACAGUCAGGGUGGUCAAACACAACUUCCAGCCUCCAGUAGUAACGGCUCUGUGUCUGUGUUGGUCCUGAGUGCUGUGAGUGAGAGACAUAGCGGAAUGUAUCAGUGUGAAGCUGUAAAAGGAAAUGAGCGAGCUUUCAGUAAUAUCCAUACCAUAA